UUUAAGGCUUCACUAGAAGCCAUUCAUUAUUAACAAUUUAACAAAA
rfam:Plasmodium gonderi DNA, contig: Chr09.